rnacentral:lncRNA from 1 species
AGAAUGUGUCCCAAUCACUGUAACUGUGUGUGUUUUCAGAAAAAGAAUUGCCGUUAAUGUGUCCCUUUCUGCAGAACUGCUUGGAAACAGGACUGGAUACUUAAGAUGAGUGACGUGAGACAGCCAGGUGCCCUGCUCUGGCUUAAAUAGUGUGAGUAUCCUGGGAGCUGAAGAUAUGCAGACUAACUGGUCAGUAAGAACAAUCACUGCUUUCAUGGGAGUUGAAGACCUGAAAACAUGCCUGUGACUGUGUAGUUAGGCUCAAGUGUGUAUCAUCCGCCCUCCAACCUUACCCACCAUGACAGGGGCCCACCCAUCCCUCACCCAUGCAAGCUAUUCUGAAGGUAGCUUUGGGGAAAAUAGGUAUGGACAAGUGUGCUGUAUCCAUUGUGAGAUUUUCUAAUAAAGCAAUCUUCUAUGCCUUGA